rnacentral:rRNA from 1 species
AUUGAACGCUGGCGGCAGGCCUAACACAUGCAAGUCGAGCGGAGCGGCGGACGGGUGAGUAAUGCCUAGGAAUCUGCCUGGUAGUGGGGGAUAACGUCCGGAAACGGGCGCUAAUACCGCAUCUCAUCAGCUGUCCCUAGAUGGGAUUAGCUAGUAGGUGGGGUAACGGCUCACCAAGGCGACGAUCCCUAGCUGGGCUGAGAGGAUGACCAGCCACACUGGAACUGAGACACGGUCCAGACUCCUACGGGAGGCAGCAGUGGGGAAUAUUGCACAAUGGGCGAAAGCCUGAUGCAGCCAUGCCGCGUGUGUGAAGAAGGCCUUCGGGUUGUAAAGCACUUUCAGCGGGGAGGCGUUACCCGCAGAAGAAGCACCGGCUAACUCCGUGCCAGCAGCCGCGGUAAUAC